rnacentral:rRNA from 1 species
AUCCAGACUCCUACGGGAGGCAGCAGUGGGGAAUAUUGCACAAUGGGGGAAACCCUGAUGCAGCGACGCCGCGUGAGCGAUGAAGUAUUUCGGUAUGUAAAGCUCUAUCAGCAGGGAAGAAGAUGACGGUACCUGACUAAGAAGCCCCGGCUAACUACGUGCCAGCAGCCGCGGUAAUACGUAGGGGGCAAGCGUUAUCCGGAUUUACUGGGUGUAAAGGGAGCGUAGACGGCGAUGCAAGCCAGAUGUGAAAGCCCGGGGCUCAACCCCGGGACUGCAUUUGGAACUGUGUGGCUGGAGUGUCGGAGAGGCAGGCGGAAUUCCUAGUGUAGCGGUGAAAUGCGUAGAUAUUAGGAGGAACACCAGUGGCGAAGGCGGCCUGCUGGACGAUGACUGACGUUGAGGCUCGAAAGCGUGGGGAGCAAACAGGAUUAGAUACCCUGGUAC